rnacentral:rRNA from 1 species
GACGAACGCUGGCGGCGUGCUUAACACAUGCAAGUCGAACGGAAAGGCCCUGCUUUUGUGGGGUGCUCGAGUGGCGAACGGGUGAUUAACACUUGAGUACCCUGCCCUUGACUUUGGGAUAACUUCAGGAAACUUGGGCUCAUACCGGAUAGGAGCUCCUGCUGCAUGGUGGGCGUUGGAUAGUUUCGGCGGUUGGGGAUGUACUCGCGGCUUAUCAGCUUGUUGGUGGGGUAGUGGCUUACCAAGGCUUUGACGGGUAGCCGGCCUGAGCGGGUGACCGGCCACAUUGGGACUGAGAUACGGCCCAGACUCCUACGGGAGGCAGCAGUGGGGAAUAUUGCACAAGGGGCGGAAGCCUGAUGCAGCAACGCCGCGUGCGGGAUGACGGCCUUCGGGUUGUAAACCGAUGUCGCCUGUGACGAAGAGUGAGUGACGGUAAUGGGUAAAGAAGCACCGGCUAACUACGUG